AGAGUUUGAUCCUGGCUCAGAACGAACGCUGGCGGCGCGUUUUAAGCAUGCAAGUCGAACGGUAGUACCGUCUUCGGAUGGUAUGAGAGUGGCGAACGGGUGAGUAACACGUGAAUGAUCUGCCUCCGGGCUUGGGAUAGCCUAUGGAAACAUAGGGUAAUACCGAAUGAUUUCUUGAGGGUAGAGCCUUGAGAUGAAAGGGGCAACUGCCCCGCCUGGAGAGGAGUUUGCGGUCCAUUAGCUUGUUGGUGGGGUAAUGGCCUACCAAGGCGACGAUGGAUAGCCGGCCUGAGAGGGUGACCGGCCACACUGGGACUGAGACACGGCCCAGACUCCUACGGGAGGCAGCAGCUAAGAAUCUUCCGCAAUGGGCGAAAGCCUGACGGAGCGACGCCGCGUGGACGAUGAAGGCCGUGAGGUUGUAAAGUCCUUUUCUUCGUGAGGAAUAAUGUGGGGAGUGGAAUGCCUCGCAGAUGACGUUAGCGAAGGAAUAAGCACCGGCUAAUUACGUGCCAGCAGCCGCGGUAAUACGUAAGGUGCAAGCGUUGUUCGGAAUUAUUGGGCGUAAAGGGCGUGUAGGCGGCAUACUAAGCCUGGUUUGAAAGGUCUCGGCUCAACUGAGAUAGUGGGUCAGGAACUGGUACGCUAGAGUUCAUGGGGGGAAGCUGGAAUUCCUGGUGUAGGGGUGAAAUCUGUAGAUAUCAGGAAGAACACCGGUAGCGAAGGCGAGCUUCUAUGAAUGGACUGACGCUGAGGCGCGAAAGCGUGGGGAGCGAACAGGAUUAGAUACCCUGGUAGUCCACGCUGUAAACGAUGCGCACUAGGUAUGGGUCACAUUGGUGAUCUGUGCCGUAGCGAACGCGAUAAGUGCACCGCCUGGGGAGUAUGCUCGCAAGGGUGAAACUCAAAGGAAUUGACGGGGCCCCGCACAAGCGGUGGAGCAUGUGGUUUAAUUCGAAACGCGAGGAACCUUACCAGGGUUUGACAUGUACGUGGAUGCUCCAGAGAUGGGGCAGUCCGGUUAUCCGGACGCGUACACAGGUGCUGCAUGGCUGUCGUCAGCUCGUGUCGUGAGAUGUUGGGUUAAGUCCCGCAACGAGCGCAACCCCUACCGUCUGUUGCCAUCAGGUGAAGCUGGGCACUCUGGCGGAACUGCCGGUGACAAACCGGAGGAAGGUGGGGACGACGUUAAGUCAUCAUGGCCCUUAUGUCCUGGGCUACACACGUGCUACAAUGGUCCGUACAACGCGAAGCGAAACGGCGACGUGGAGCAAAUCGCUAAAAGCGGGUCACAGUUCGGAUUGGAGUCUGAAACCCGACUCCAUGAAGGUGGAAUCGCUAGUAAUCGCGCAUCAUCAUGGCGCGGUGAAUACGUUCCCGGGGCUUGUACACACCGCCCGUCACACCACCCGAGUUGGGGGUACCCGAAGUCGCGAGUCUAACCGCAAGGGGGACCGUGCCGAAGGUAUGCCUGGUAAGGGGGGUGAAGUCGGAACAAGGUA
rnacentral:rRNA from 1 species